rnacentral:rRNA from 1 species
CCCUGCACUUCGGGAUAAGCUUGGGAAACUGGGUCUAAUACCGGAUAGGAGCCAUCUUUAGUGUGGUGGUUGGAAAGUUUUUCGGUGUAGGAUGAGCUCGCGGCCUAUCAGCUUGUUGGUGGGGUAAUGGCCUACCAAGGCGGCGACGGGUAGCCGGCCUGAGAGGGUGUACGGCCACAUUGGGACUGAGAUACGGCCCAG